GGGAAGGUAGCUCAGUGGUAGAGUGCCUGCCUUGCAUGCAUGAGGUCCUGGGUUCGAUUCCUCAGCACCA
rnacentral:tRNA from 1 species